CCCUGCCAUUUGUACACACCGCCCGUCGCUCCUACCGAUUGGAUGAUGCGGUGAAGAUUCUGGACCGUGCCGGGCUUGCAUGGCGACUAGCGCGUCUCCUGGCUGCGGGAAGUUGUCUAAAUCUUAUCAUCUAGAGGAAGGAGAAGUCGU
rnacentral:rRNA from 1 species